rnacentral:rRNA from 1 species
AUACGUAGGGGGCGAGCGUUGUCCGGAAUGAUUGGGCGUAAAGGGCGCGUAGGCGGCCCGGUAAGUCUGGAGUGAAAGUCCUGUUUUUAAGAUGGGAAUUGCUUUGGAUACUGUCGGGCUUGAGUGCAGGAGAGGUAAGUGGAAUUCCCAGUGUAGCGGUGAAAUGCGUAGAGAUUGGGAGGAACACCAGUGGCGAAGGCGACUUACUGGACUGUAACUGACGCUGAGGCGCGAAAGGGUGGGGAGCAAACAGGAUUAGAUACCCUGGUAGUCCACACUGUAAACGAUGAAUGCUAGGUGUAGGGGGUAUCGACCCCUUCUGUGCCGAAGUCAACACAAUAAGCAUUCCGCCUGGGGAGUACGGCCGCAAGGUUGAAACUCAAAUGAAUUGACGGG